rnacentral:rRNA from 1 species
UACGUAGGGUGCGAGCGUUGCCCGGAUUUAUUGGGCGUAAAGGGCGCGUAGGCGGCUCUGCACGUCCGUUGUGAAAUCGCCCGGCUCAACUGGGCGGGGUCAGCGGAUACGGCGGAGCUUGAGCAAGCUAGGGGGCAAUGGAAUUCCCGGUGUAGUGGUGGAAUGCGUAGAUAUCGGGAGGAACACCUGUGGCGAAAGCGGCUCACUGGACCACAACUGACGCUGAGGCGCGAAAGCUAGGGGAGCAAACAGG